GAUGAACGCUGGCGGCGUGCCUAAUACAUGCAAGUCGAGCGAACGGACGAGAAGCUUGCUUCUCUGAUGUUAGCGGCGGACGGGUGAGUAACACGUGGAUAACCUACCUAUAAGACUGGGAUAACUUCGGGAAACCGGAGCUAAUACCGGAUAAUAUUUUGAACCGCAUGGUUCAAAAGUGAAAGACGGUCUUGCUGUCACUUAUAGAUGGAUCCGCGCUGCAUUAGCUAGUUGGUAAGGUAACGGCUUACCAAGGCAACGAUGCAUAGCCGACCUGAGAGGGUGAUCGGCCACACUGGAACUGAGACACGGUCCAGACUCCUACGGGAGGCAGCAGUAGGGAAUCUUCCGCAAUGGGCGAAAGCCUGACGGAGCAACGCCGCGUGAGUGAUGAAGGUUCUCGGAUCGUAAAACUCUGUUAUUAGGGAAGAACAUAUGUGUAAGUAACUGUGCACAUCUUGACGGUACCUAAUCAGAAAGCCACGGCUAACUACGUG
rnacentral:rRNA from 1 species